rnacentral:rRNA from 1 species
CUGGCUCAGAGUGAACGCUGGCGGUAGGCCUAACACAUGCAAGUCGAACGGCAGCACAGGAGAGCUUGCUCUCUGGGUGGCGAGUGGCGGACGGGUGAGGAAUACAUCGGAAUCUACUCUGUCGUGGGGGAUAACGUAGGGAAACUUACGCUAAUACCGCAUACGACCUACGGGUGAAAGCAGGGGAUCUUCGGACCUUGCGCGAUUGAAUGAGCCGAUGUCGGAUUAGCUAGUUGGCGGGGUAAAGGCCCACCAAGGCGACGAUCCGUAGCUGGUCUGAGAGGAUGAUCAGCCACACUGGAACUGAGACACGGUCCAGACUCCUACGGGAGGCAGCAGUGGGGAAUAUUGGACAAUGGGCGCAAGCCUGAUCCAGCCAUACCGCGUGGGUGAAGAAGGCCUUCGGGUUGUAAAGCCCUUUUGUUGGGAAAGAAAUCCAGCCGGCUAAUACCUGGUUGGGAUGACGGUACCCAAAGAAUAAGCACCGGCUAACUUCGUGCCAGCAGCCGCGGUAAUACGAAGGGUGCAAGCGUUACUCGGAAUUACUGGGCGUAAAGCGUGCGUAGGUGGUCGUUUAAGUCCGUUGUGAAAGCCCUGGGCUCAACCUGGGAACUGCAGUGGAUACUGGGCGACUAGAGUGUGGUAGAGGGUAGCGGAAUUCCUGGUGUAGCAGUGAAAUGCGUAGAGAUCAGGAGGAACAUCCAUGGCGAAGGCAGCUACCUGGACCAACACUGACACUGAGG